GCCGGUGUAGCUCAGACGGUUCAAGAGCGCAGUCCUGGUACGACUGAGGUCGUGAGUUCAAUUCUCACCACUGGCC
rnacentral:tRNA from 1 species